AUUGAACGCUGGCGGCAGGCUUAACACAUGCAAGUCGAGCGGGGAAAAGUAGCUUGCUACUUGACCUAGCGGCGGACGGGUGAGUAAUGCUUAGGAAUCUGCCUAUUAGUGGGGGACAACAUCUCGAAAGGGAUGCUAAUACCGCAUACGUCCUACGGGAGAAAGCAGGGGACCUUCGGGCCUUGCGCUAAUAGAUGAGCCUAAGUCGGAUUAGCUAGUUGGUGGGGUAAAGGCCUACCAGGCGACGAUCUGUAGCGGGUCUGAGAGGAUGAUCCGCCACACUGGGACUGAGACACGGCCCAGACUCCUACGGGAGGCAGCAGUGGGGAAUAUUGGACAAUGGGGGGAACCCUGAUCCAGCCAUGCCGCGUGUGUGAAGAAGGCCUUUUGGUUGUAAAGCACUUUAAGCGAGGAGGAGGCUACCGAGAUUAAUACUCUUGGAUAGUGGACGUUACUCGCAGAAUAAGCACCGGCUAACUCUGUGCCAGCAGCCGCGGUAAUACAGAGGGUGCAAGCGUUAAUCGGAUUUACUGGGCGUAAAGCGCGCGUAGGUGGCCAAUUAAGUCAAAUGUGAAAUCCCCGAGCUUAACUUGGGAAUUGCAUUCGAUACUGGUUGGCUAGAGUAUGGGAGAGGAUGGUAGAAUUCCAGGUGUAGCGGUGAAAUGCGUAGAGAUCUGGAGGAAUACCGAUGGCGAAGGCAGCCAUCUGGCCUAAUACUGACACUGAGGUGCGAAAGCAUGGGGAGCAAACAGGAUUAGAUACCCUGGUAGUCCAUGCCGUAAACGAUGUCUACUAGCCGUUGGGGCCUUUGAGGCUUUAGUGGCGCAGCUAACGCGAUAAGUAGACCGCCUGGGGAGUACGGUCGCAAGACUAA
rnacentral:rRNA from 1 species